rnacentral:pre_miRNA from 1 species
CGGGUUUCGCGGCGAACGGGCUUCCACCAUGAUGAAUAGCAGUUCGUUGUCGACGAAACCUGCA